rnacentral:rRNA from 1 species
UCAAGUAAUUAAGUGCAUGUGGUGGAUGCCUUGGCAGUCAGAGGCGAUGAAAGACGUGAUAGCCUGCGAAAAGCUCCGGGGAGGCGGCAAAUAUCCUUUGAUCCGGAGAUGUCUGAAUGGGGGAACCCACCUACUUUAAGGUAGGUAUUGCAACAUGAAUACAUAGUGUUGCAAGGCGAACGAGGGGAAGUGAAACAUCUCAGUACCCUUAGGAAAAGAAAUCAAUUGAGAUUCCCUCAGUAGCGGCGAGCGAACGGGGAUCAGCCCAUUAAGUUAUGUGUGUUUUAGUGGAACGCUCUGGGAAGUGCGAACGUAGAGGGUGAUAUUCCCGUACACGAAAGGGCACACAUAAUGAUGACGAGUAGGGCGAGGCACGUGAAACCUUGUCUGAAUAUGGGGGACCAUCCUCCAAGGCUAAAUACUCCUGACUGACCGAUAGUGAACCAGUACCGUGAGGGAAAGGCGAAAAGAACCCCUGUGAGGGAGUGAAAUAGAUCCUGAAACCGCAUGCAUACAAGCAGUGGAGCACCUUCGUGGUGUGACUGCGUACCUUUUGUAUAAUGGGUCAGCGACUUAUAUUCAGUAGCGAGGUUAACCGUAUAGGGAGCCGUAGAGAAAUCGAGUCUUAAUAGGGCGUUUAGUUGCUGGGUAUAGACCCGAAACCAGGCGAUCUAUCCAUGAGCAGGUUGAAGGUUGGGUAACACUAACUGGAGGACCGAACCCACUGUCGUUGAAAAGCCAGGGGAUGACUUGUGGAUAGGGGUGAAAGGCUAAUCAAGCCUGGUGAUAGCUGGUUCUCCCGAAAGCUAUUUAGGUAGCGCCUCGGACGAAUACCAUAGGGGGUAGAGCACUGUUUCGGCUAGGGGGUCAUCCCGACUUACCAAACCGAUGCAAACUCCGAAUACCUAUGAGUACUAUCCGGGAGACAGACUGCGGGUGCUAACGUCCGUAGUCAAGAGGAAAACAAUCCAGACCGCCAGCUAAGGCCCCAAAAUCAUAGUUAAGUGGGAAACGAUGUGGGAAGGCAUAGACAGCUAGGAGGUUGGCUUAGAAGCAGCCACCCUUUAAAGAAAGCGUAAUAGCUCACUAGUCGAGUCGGCCUGCGCGGAAGAUGUAACGGGGCUAAAACUAUGUGCCGAAGCUGCGGAUGUAUACUUUGUAUACGUGGUAGGGGAGCGUUCUGUAAGCCGAUGAAGGUGUGUUGAGAAGCAUGCUGGAGGUAUCAGAAGUGCGAAUGCUGACGUGAGUAACGACAAAACGGGUGAAAAACCCGUUCGCCGAAAGACCAAGGGUUCCAGUCCAACGUUAAUCGGGGCUGGGUGAGUCGACCCCUAAGGCGAGGCCGAAAGGCGUAGUCGAUGGGAAAAUGGUUAAUAUUCCAUUACUUCUGUGUAAUGCGAUGAGAGGACGGAGAAGGCUAAAUCAGCCUGGCGUUGGUUGUCCAGGUGAAAGGAUGUAGGCAUGUAUCUUAGGCAAAUCCGGGGUACUCUAUGCUGAGAUCUGAUAGCAAGCUGUACUUGUACAGCGAAGUGGUUGAUGCCAUGCUUCCAGGAAAAGUCUCUAAGCUUCAGUUACACAGGAAUCGUACCCGAAACCGACACAGGUGGUCAGGUCGAGUAGACCAAGGCGCUUGAGAGAACUCUGCUGAAGGAACUAGGCAAAAUGGUACCGUAACUUCGGGAGAAGGUACGCUGUUGUUGGUGAUGGAACUCGCUUCCUGAGCUGACGACAGCCGCAGAAACCAGGCCGCUGCAACUGUUUAUUAAAAACAUAGCACUCUGCAAACACGAAAGUGGACGUAUAGGGUGUGAUGCCUGCCCGGUGCUGGAAGGUUAAUUGAUGGGGUUAGCGUAAGCGAAGCUCUUGAUCGAAGCCCCAGUAAACGGCGGCCGUAACUAUAACGGUCCUAAGGUAGCGAAAUUCCUUGUCGGGUAAGUUCCGACCUGCACGAAUGGCAUAAUGAUGGCGGCGCUGUCUCCAGCAGAGGCUCAGUGAAAUCGAAAUCGCUGUGAAGAUGCAGUGUACCCGCGGCUAGACGGAAAGACCCCGUGAACCUUUACUGCAGCUUGACACUGAACUUUGACCUUACUUGUGUAGGAUAGGUGGGAGGCUUUGAAGCUGGAACGCUAGUUCCAGUGGAGCCGUCCUUGAAAUACCACCCUGGUAAUGUUGAGGUUCUAACUCUGUCCCGUGAUCCGGGACGAGGACCGUGUCUGGUGGGUAGUUUGACUGGGGCGGUCUCCUCCUAAAGAGUAACGGAGGAGUACGAAGGUGCGCUCAGCGUGGUCGGAAAUCACGCGUAGAGUAUAAAGGCAAAAGCGCGCUUAACUGCGAGACCCACAAGUCGAGCAGGUACGAAAGUAGGUCUUAGUGAUCCGGUGGUUCUGUAUGGAAGGGCCAUCGCUCAACGGAUAAAAGGUACUCUGGGGAUAACAGGCUGAUACCGCCCAAGAGUUCAUAUCGACGGCGGUGUUUGGCACCUCGAUGUCGGCUCAUCUCAUCCUGGGGCUGAAGCAGGUCCCAAGGGUAUGGCUGUUCGCCAUUUAAAGAGGUACGCGAGCUGGGUUUAGAACGUCGUGAGACAGUUCGGUCCCUAUCUACCGUGGGCGCUGGAAAUUUGAGAGGAUCUGCUCCUAGUACGAGAGGACCAGAGUGGACGAACCUCUGGUGUACCGGUUGUGACGCCAGUCGCAUCGCCGGGUAGCUAUGUUCGGAAGGGAUAACCGCUGAAAGCAUCUAAGCGGGAAGCCUACCUCAAGAUAAGAUUUCCCUAGGACUUUAUGUCCUCUAAAGAGCCGUUCGAGACUAGGACGUUGAUAGGUUGGAUGUGGAAGCAUAGUGAUAUGUGAAGCUGACCAAUACUAAUUGCUCGUGAGGCUUGACUAU